GUAGCGCCAACGGUGAUAUACGAAAUACACUUCCUACGAUUCUGGAAUAUAUCGAUAUUUCUCAUGAUCGAUUUUUAAGCAGCAAACAUGGCGGAAGGAAGCACACCUAGUCUGUUUGAGGAAAGUGUUGGUUAGACAAAUCAUUCAGAAAGAAGUAUCGUCCAGAAGUUCUCAGUUAACAUUUCGUGUGAAACGUGCGAUUGUAGCGCCAACGGUGAUAUACGAAAUACACUUCCUACGAUUCUGGAAUAUAUCGAUAUUUCUCAUGAUCGAUUUUUAAGCAGCAAACAUGGCGGAAGGAAGCACACCUAGUCUGUAAAGAGGAAAGUGUUGUCCAGAAAAAUCAUUCAGAAAGAAGUAUUAGUUAUGCCUGUUCGUUGAAGAUCAGCCCAAGCCCUACUCCUCAAUUGUGUGAUGAAACAUGUAGCGAAGAGUCAUUUGGUUCUCGAAUUUCGUGACAACAACACGCAUUACGUUGUUAUUUCUUGAUUGCAGGAUAGAACACAUAGACACACCGAUUAUAAAUGGCUCAUGUAAUAUUCUUUGACGGAAAUUUGGUAACAUUUCAUUUAUUUUAGAUAUACACGAUUGAUCCGUGAUUAAACGAUUCAAAGCAAGAUUUC